rnacentral:rRNA from 1 species
ACGGGAGGCAGCAGUGGGGAAUAUUGCACAAUGGGGGAAACCCUGAUGCAGCGACGCCGCGUGAGUGAAGAAGUAUUUCGGUAUGUAAAGCUCUAUCAGCAGGGAAGAAAAUGACGGUACCUGACUAAGAAGCCCCGGCUAACUACGUGCCAGUAGCCGCGGUAAUACGUAGGGGGCAAGCGUUAUCCGGAUUUACUGGGUGUAAAGGGAGCGUAGACGGCGAUGCAAGUCUGAUGUGAAAGCCCGGGGCUCAACCCCGGCACUGCAUUGGAAACUGUGUUGCUAGAGUGCAGGAGAGGUAAGUGGAAUUCCUAGUGUAGCGGUGAAAUGCGUAGAUAUUAGGAGGAACACCAGAGGCGAAGGCGGCUUUCUGGACAUUAACUGACGCUGAGGCUCGAAAGCGUGGGGAGCAAACAGGAUUAGAUACCCUGGUA